AUUGAACGCUAGCGGGAUGCCUUACACAUGCAAGUCGAACGAGUGGCGAACGGGUGAGUAAUGUAACGGAACGUGCCCAGUCGCGGGGGAUAACUACGCGAAACGUAGCUAAUACCGCAUACUUUUGGAGCGGCCGAUAGCGGAGUAGCUAGUUGGUGGGGUAACGGCUCACCAAGGCGACGAUCCGUAGCUGGUUUGAGAGGAAGACCAGCCACACUGGGACUGCGACACGGCCCAGACUCCUACGGGAGGCAGCAGUGGGGAAGUUUGCACAAUGGGGGAAACCCUGAUCCAGCCAUCCCGCGUGUGCGAUGAAGGCCUUCGGGUUGUAAAGCACUUUUGGCAGGAAAGCGGUACCUGCAGAAUAAGCACCGGCUAACUACGUGCCAGCAGCCGCGGUAAUUC
rnacentral:rRNA from 1 species